rnacentral:rRNA from 1 species
AUAAAAAACCAACGCCCUUCGGGGCUCCUUGGUGAAUCAUAAUAACUAAGCGAAUCGCAUGGCCUUGCGCCGGCGAUGGUUCAUUCAAAUUUCUGCCCUAUCAACUUUCGAUGGUAAGAUAGUGGCUUACCAUGGUGGCAACGGGUAACGGGGAAUUAGGGUUCGAUUCCGGAGAGGGAGCCUGAGAAACGGCUACCACAUCCAAGGAAGGCAGCAGGCGCGCAAAUUACCCAAUCCCGACACGGGGAGGUAGUGACAAUAAAUACUGAUACGGGGCUCUUUUGGGUCUCGUAAUUGGAAUGAGUACAAUCUAAAUCCCUUAACGAGGAACAAUUGGAGGGCAAGUCUGGUGCCAGCAGCCGCGGUAAUUCCAGCUCCAAUAGCGUAUAUUAAAGUUGUUGCAGUUAAAAAGCUCGUAGUUGAACCUUGGGUCUGGCUGACCGGUCCGCCUCACCGCGAGUACUGGUUCGGCUGGGCCUUUCCUUCUGGGGAGCCUCAUGGCCUUCACUGGCUGUGG